rnacentral:rRNA from 1 species
UGGGGAAUUUUGGACAAUGGACGCAAGUCUGAUCCAGCCAUGCCGCGUGCGGGAAGAAGGCCUUCGGGUUGUAAACUGCUUUUGUACGGAACGAAACGGUCUUUUCUAAUACAGAAGGCUAAUGACGGUACCGUAAGAAUAAGCACCGGCUAACUACGUGCCAGCAGCCGCGGUAAUACGCAGGGUGUGAGCGUUAAUCGGAAUUACUGGGCGUAAAGCGUGCGCAGGCGGUUAUAUAAGACAGAUGUGAAAUCCCCGGGCUCCACCUGGGAACUGCCUUUGUGACUGUAUAGCUAGAGUACGGCAGAGGGGGAUGGAAUUCCGCGUGUAGCAGUGAAAUGCGUAGAUAUGCGGAGGAACACCGAUGGCGAAGGCAAUCCCCUGGGCCUGUACUGACGCUCAUGCACGAAAGCGUGGGGAGCAAACA